UUAAUACCGGACAUUCUCCUUCUUCCGCAUGGUUGAGGGUGGAAAGUUUUUUCGGCCGGGGAGGGGCUCGCGGCCUAUCAGCUUGUUGGCGGGGUAACGGCCCACCAAGGCGACGACGGGUAGCCGGCCUGAGAGGGCGACCGGCCACACUGGGACUGAGACACGGCCCAGACUCCUACGGGAGGCAGCAGUGGGGAAUAUUGCGCAAUGGGCGGAAGCCUGACGCAGCGACGCCGCGUGGGGGAAUGAAGGCCUUCGGGUUGUAAACCCYUUUCACCAGGAGCGAAUCCAGACGGUACCUGGGGAAGAAGCGCCGGCUAACUACG
rnacentral:rRNA from 1 species